rnacentral:rRNA from 1 species
AUCUCGCGGCCUAUCAGCUUGUUGGUGGGGUAAUGGCCUACCAAGGCGUCGACGGGUAGCCGGCCUGAGAGGGCGACCGGCCACACUGGGACUGAGACACGGCCCAGACUCCUACGGGAGGCAGCAGUGGGGAAUAUUGCGCAAUGGACGAAAGUCUGACGCAGCAACGCCGCGUGAGGGAUGACGGCCUUCGGGUUGUAAACCUCUUUCAGCAGGGACGAAGCGAGAGUGACGGUACCUGCAGAAGAAGGACCGGCCAACUACGUGCCAGCAGCCGCGGUAAUACGUAGGGUCCGAGCGUUGUCCGGAAUUAUUGGGCGUAAAGGGCUCGUAGGCGGUUCGUCACGUCGGGAGUGAAAACUCGGAGCUCAACUCCGAGCCUGCUUCCGAUACGGGCAGACUAGAGGUAGGCAGGGGAGAGCGGAACUCCUGGUGUAGCGGUGGAAUGCGCAGAUAUCAGGAAGAACACCGGUGGCGAAGGCGGCUCUCUGGGCCUUACCUGACGCUGAGGAGCGAAAGCGUGGGUAGCGAACAGGAUUAGAUACCCUGGUAGUCCACGCCGUAAACGUUGGGCGCUAGGUGUGGGGGACAUUCCACGUCCUCCGUGCCGCAGCUAACGCAUUAAGCGCCCCGCCUGGGGAGUACGGAAGCUUGGAAUUCG